ACUAUUCUUUUUCUCUUGUUUCUUCAUUUUUCUUUUACUCCUCCUUUUCCUUGGAGAAAAUAUGAGAAAGUACAGUGACAAGUGGAAGAAAGUUUGACAGAAAAAUAGUUUUGGUAUGGGGAGAAUGUCGAAGAGGUGGCACAGUUGGUUGAUUGAACAUGUUCGAAGUUGAUUGAACAUGUUCGAAGUAUCGAGACUUUUGCAACCGUAGUUUUUGAUGGAAACGAUGAGACAAACAGUAUAAUCUCUUAUAUCGUAUUGUCAAGGAAUUUGAAAACCUUAUUAAAAAAUCAUAUCAGGCUCUUGAUCUCAAGAAAGGAGAAGCUAAAGCCAUUUUUGAAGCUGCAACUAAGGAAAAGGUAAAGUGUCUUGUGCAGAGGUUGUGGAAUGAGAAGGUCAAAGUGUCCCCAUGUCCAAUGGAGGAGCAUGAUGCUCUUAUAGAUAUAAGAACCCAGGUUGAUGAAACACACACUGAUAUGUUCAGGUUAAAGAGCACAAAUCAAAAAGGGCUAAAAGAUGUAAGAGCUCUCAAACAAGACGCUUGUCAAAACACUCGGUGCAUCAUGGUUUUCGUAGAUAUCUCUCUGUUCUGGCCGUUCCUCAUUUGUUUUGGGAUACAAGGACCUUAAUUAAUUGUAUAUACAUUUUUUGUAUUUUAUUUUAGUGGAAUAUGAAAUGAAAUUAUUUUUUUUAAUUUAA